CCUCCCUUGCAUUCCUCUUCAGUCGUCGGCGCAAGAGCRACGUGAGUAGCCUUGGCCGCCCGCGGGUUUCCUGUGUUGCAUACCUACCGRAAGGAAUUCGRUCGUCGCAAGGAUGGACGUUCCCCCGACGCCGUGCCCCCCGUGCGGGCGCGGCGUGGGGCGAACCGCGAGGGCGGCAUCGUGYUUCCGGGACGUCGUCGACCGACGCGUCUCGGCCCACGGCGUGCGCCUGAGCUCUCGGACCCAGUGCACCGCGAGGGCA
rnacentral:misc_RNA from 1 species